rnacentral:lncRNA from 1 species
CUUGCACAGAGGCAGGGCUGUGAUUAGAGUCAGAUUCUGGCCUCAUACCUGCUGGUGGUGUGGGACCCUGGGGAAAGUAUCCAAAAUAGGGUAAAUCUGUGUAAAGCAAGGAUGACACACACCUCACUGUGUGGCCUUGAGAAUCCCAAGCAGGUACCCUGCACAGGUAUCUGAGGAGCAGGAGCAGACUGAUUUUUCUUUUGUUUUGUUUCUGGUCUACAGCUCCAAGAUGACUUUUCAUAUACAUGCUGUGAAUAAUCAGGGAAGAAUUGUACCGCUGGACAGUGAAGAUAGCUUAUCCUUUGUGAAGACGGUAAGCAGAGCUAUCAUGGGUCAGCUGGCUGGGAAUGGCCUGUAGAGGGACAUCUGUAAGUUGGGAGGUGGGAGUGGGUGGGGGUCUUGGGCAGCCCACCCCACCUGAAGAAGCUGAUCUUCUCUCAGUCCUAUCCCAGCCAUAGCAGGGGUGAGCCUGUGUUUACUGAAGGUACCCAGGUAGCUGUGCUAGGCCCACCCACAUCUAUUCUCCCUUGCCUAGGCUUCCCCAGUGUCCAGAGUCUUAACUGAGGUGUUGGGAGGCACCUCUUUCUGGGUUAUGAAGCCUUCCUACAGGUAGCUGAGAUUGCUCUUGUCGAAAUGUGAAUCCAGGACAAGCUUGCCUUGACUAACAGACUAAGUUUUUCAGUGGCAUCUUUGAGUUCCAAGACUUGCAUUGAUGUCCUUAACAGGAACCUAGAGUUGAGACCAGUCUUGACAGCGUAGUGAGACCCCGUGUC